rnacentral:lncRNA from 1 species
GACAGUGUUUGUUUCAUUGUUUGUAUGAUAUAUAUUGUCCCUAAAUAUUGCAAUGUAACAUUCACAGGGCAUCUCGUCCCGAACUAUGUCACUAAAAGACUCGUUGUACAGAUUGAUCAUUCGUAUUCCUCUGUCGUAACCGGAAUAAAUCAAUCGGUUAUCUUUCAAUGCAAUGCCAUAACUGUUGGAAUCUAGUGAAAUGGUUUUCUUGAUUUGUUUCUUUUCCAAGUCUAUAAUAGUAAUACAAUUCUUAUCGGAACUACCAGAUGUAACAGCCAAUGUAUUGUCCUCACUGAUGUACACUAUAUCAAACGCUUCACAAGGCAUCUUCACUUCAAAGUCGUUAAAUCCGUUCAUGUUAAAUAUAAUUACCUUACAAUCCCAGUAGUAAGUAAAUGCCAAUCUACCAUCCGACAGCAUGCAACAUCCGUAGAUUGAGUUUCCUUGAGUGUUGAAUGUCUUUUGUAUCAUUAGUGUUAUAUUUUCAAGGGAUUUUGAUUGAACGGUCGGUAUCAUCAUUUGUCUUGUUUCGCCUUUUAUCGCAAUAUCGCAAGAUUUAGCCUCAAUACGCACUUCUCCAAAAGUUAAGAUAUCGGACAUGAUAUUCCUGAUAAAGAUGUUGGUCUUAUAUGAAAGAGAAGUUUGCUUAAAAUUCCUGCUUUCUUCAAGCUAUUGCAGCAAUUUAUUAUUGCUAUAGACGUCCUCCUCUAUUUUUUUCAUUGAAAGAAACACUUGCAGGUCCGUUGCAUGUUGCUUGAUGUUCAUAAUGUUUCUUUGGCAUUCUGCUAUUUCCUUUUCUUUCUUUUCUAUUGAUGACAAUAACUGACAAAUUCUCGAGUUUUCUUUUUCUUCUACUGCAUAUAGCUGUUUCAUUAAAUCCUCUUGUAUUUUUUAAGAUGGUUGUUGAUCUUUAUUCUUGUCUUCUUUAUUUCUUUUUCAAUUUCCUUUCUACUUUCCUUAAAUGUCGUCAGAUUGUCCUGUUGAUGCUGACGAAUUUUCUGUAGAUCUUCUGCAACUUCAAAUAAUGUUUCCUCUAUUUCGCACAUCGCAUUGAAGGUUUUGACAUUGUGAAUGACGUCAUAUAAUUCGACGAAAUCUCGGCUUUCGUUAUGGCUUUCCACGAUACAUUUGCCCUAGCAGUGGAAUUCAUGUUUUUGGCAAUACAUUUGAUACUUUUUAUCAUGUUUACUACAGUACUGAGUAAUUCUAAGUAUAUCAUCUGGUAAUUUCAGGUAAUCAGUGAAAGAUAUAACGCUAUGACUUCUCGAUGACUUCGACAAGCUAUGAUGUUCUUUGAUUCUGUACAUAAUCCCUCGUCACAUUCUGUACACCAGACUAUAGGUGCUUUGGUAAUUUGACGAAUGCCACAAAAACCACAGCUCUGAGAUGAUGUUGACAUUAAACACUACAAAUAACAAUACCUGAUUUAAAGGUUUUAAACAACAACACCCAAUCAAUCAACAUCAAACAUCUAACGUGGUGACUUAAUUUAGUUUACUGUCGAAGUACGUGUUUCUCUUUGGGUACUCCGGUUUCCUUUAUCAAUUAAAACAGGUUUGAAUCAUAAUAUAGUCAUAAUAUAUUUAUUUAAAAUUCGGAAUUAUGCUCAUCUAUCUCAUUCUACAGUUAUCUUAUAGUUCGUUUCUGUGUGAGUUGCAAUGCCGUGUUUUUUUUGCACUUUGGUAUUUCUGUUGUUUUGUGGUUUUCCUCUUAUAUUUGAUGUAUUUCCCUCAGUUUUAGUUUGUAGCCCGGAUUUGUUUUCCUUCAAUCGAUUUAUAACUUUCGAACAUCGGUAUACUACUGUUGCCUUUAUAUAUCAUCGCUUAAAAUGAAAAUGAAAAUAAAAUCAAUUAAUUGCAAGUUGUGUAGCAUUCAGAGUCACAUAUUUGAAAUUGAUAAAAUCGGGCAUUUAACUUUUUAUAAAAGAUAGUCGAAAUGUAUAUAAAGAAAUUAAUCUAGAUUUGAUCUAGAUAUAAAGUUUAGUAUUUAAGGGUCACAGAUAUAGCGAUUGGUCGUUUGAAACAUUUAUCGUAAUGGGUAAGCAACCACAACAGUUUAGUUUUGAUUAUGGACUGAUACAAGCCAGCUAUUUUCAUCAAUUAUCUGAUUAGAGUUGGAUAAUAGUGAUAUAUUUAAUGAAUUACAAAUAAAUAUACUGAUAAACCUUUUACAUCGUCACACUUAAUAAUUGCAUGUUACAUAUAGGGGUGGUUUUGCAAAGGGUUAUUAGGUUCUUAUGUUACAGGACAAAGAUAUCUAAAAAAAAGUAACCUUGCUGUAGUUACAAAUACAUUAAUUAUUAAAUCGUAUAUACCUAUAUGGAGUUUUUUUCUUUCAUAGCGAUAGGUCAUUCUUUUGAAGAAUCAACCCGGACGAUACCAUGUAUCAAAAAAAAAAAUAUGGCUCAAGGCAUAUAAUUUACUACAACAUUUAAUCGUUUGAUAGUUUGUUGUUGUCAAUUGUGGAAUUUAUUUUUUAUAAAGUUCCAUCUUUGAUAGAUUUAACAAAAAAUCGCCAUUGACGCGAAUUUAAUUUGACCUACAUGCAUUGAUAUUCCUUUUUCGUGUUACAUGUACAUGCAUCACGAGUUCCUACUCCGUACAUCAGUUCUUAAUUUUUUACAUCUAUAUUUUACUUUUUACUCUGUCAAAUGAUCAACAGAUAAAAUUUCUUAUAAUUCUAUUGAAUAACAGACACGUACCUCACAAUGGGGGUCGGGGAGUAUAGAAUUAAAUCCCGGUUCUCUGUUUAAAAAAAUGCAUUAACAGAGGUGAAUUUAUGGUGUGUGCCCGACCCCCUUUUUUGUGAAAAAACUCUCUUAGGAAUUUAGUAUCCACCCUUUUACGAAAAUUUCUUAAUACGCCACUACACAUAGAAAAAAAACCAUAGAACCUCUUUUCAUAAACUUGGUCGGUACAACAAAUUAUACUUACAAAGUGACUUGUAUUUUUCACUUUGUGUCUUACUUCCGGCAGUUACAGUAAUAACUUUAUUGAAUCUAGAUACUACUUAUUUCAAACGUUUAUAUUUAAAUUAAUUAGUGAGCUUUUAUUUCACAUGCUCACAUUCCAAAAGAGCCGUAGGACGUAUAAAAACGUGAACGGAUCAAAAAGGAAUUUAUCUCUUUAGUGCGAUCGGUAGACAAUAAUAUCUUUUUGACGGUAUAUAAGUCAGAUAAUGCAUAUUUUAGGGUUUUAACUUUUAGUCGGGGUGUCAUGAUUGCCCAAUGAAAGACCUCCCUACGGUCGGUCUUUCAUUUGAUCAAUCCUGGGUCGAUUCCACUGCUGGUGGACGUUUCAUCACCGAGGGUAUCACGAUCCCAGUAGUCAGCACUGCGGUGUUGACAUGAAUAUCAAACAUAAAUUUCCUGUUGACAAAACGUUAGAUUUUUCGAGAUAACUAAGGAUUUUCUUAUCCCACGAAUAGAUUACCUUAGCCGUAUUUAGCACAACUUUUUGGAAUUUCGGGUCCUCAAUGCUCUUCAACUUUUGUACUUUGGCUUAAUUACAAUUUUAAUCUGAGCAUCACUGAUGAGUCCUAUGUAGACGAAACGCGCGUCUGGCGUAUUUAAUUAUAAUCCUGGUACCUUUGAUAACUAUUUACACCACUGUGUCGAUGCCACUGCUGAUGGACGUGUCGUCCCCGAGGGUAUCACCGGCUCAGUAGUCAGCACUACGGUGUUGACAUGAAUGUCAAUUAUAUGGUCAUUUUUAUCAAUUUCCUGUUGACAAACUUCAGUUUUUUCGAUAAAAACAAGGAUUUUCUUAUUCCAGGAAUAGACUACCUUAGCCGUAUUUGGCACAACUUUUUGGAAUUUCGUGUCCUCAAUGCUCUUCAACUUCUUCUUGUACUUGUUUGGCUAUAUAACUAUUUUGAUCUGAGCGUCACUGAUGAGUAUUAUGUAGACGAAACGCGCGUCUGGCGUAUUAAAUUAUAAUCCUGGUACCUUUGAUAACUACUGACACCCCUAGAUGUGUUCUACGACAAGAUAAACCUUAAAAUAUGCAUUAUCUAUAACAUAGUCAUGCAUUAGAACUCUUUUAUUUUUAUUUUUUCUAUUACUUAAAAGACAAAAACAAUUCUUAUGUACUAGUAGAAUAUGUUCACAUUAAACAUGGCUUUACGGUUAUUUGCAUUAUUUUGUAGCUAUAUAUAUAAUGUUAAACUAAUUAAAAUACCAUUUGAUCAGAAAGGAUAUGUUAAAUGAUUAUACAUCUGUGAAUUGGACUUCCUUAUUUGAAGCUAUUAUUUUUGUUUUCAGGGAUAAAAAUAUGAGAAUAUGCACCUGUAUAUCGAUAGCAGAGAUGCAUAUACUAAAUACAAAUUCAUGACCCUGUUUAAUGAAUAGAUCAUUGAACGUUAUUAUAUAUAUAUAGUUCCAAGGAUUGGUAUAGUAAAAUUGAAAUCCUUGUAGAUAAUAAAGGCAUUAUGAAGGAGAAUGUAUUUUGCCCUAGAAUUGGGACAUAAUAUAACGGAUGAUAAAUAUAUGGUAUGUCCCAGCACAGAACGAAAGUUAAAAUAAUAAAACUUUUUUAAUCUUUGGAAAAUUCAAAACGUUAAUAAGAUAGAAUUUAACUCAGAAAUAUCGAAUACAUCUUUAAUAGUCCGGCUGAUUGGUGCAGAUAUAGAGCAAAAUUGCUCACUUGAUGAGGAAAUCAUGAAACUUUGCACAGUAGUUCUUGGUUAUAUACCCUUUGAUUUUAGCUAUGGACCCACUCAGAAAAAUCCAAUAUGGCUCCCAUUUUCAAGAUGGCGGAAAAACGUUAUAAAUAUCAAGAUUGUCCGCAAAGAAUUUUAAAUAACUUCGGAAAUUAAGUAAUGAUUCUUCAAAAAUAGUCUUCAUGUUCUUGAACUUGUUAUCAAUUAAUUUUUAAAUAUAAAUAGAAUAGUUUGGUUAUUUCUAGAACGCAUACAUUUGCAAAUAUGACUGAAUAUACAAAAACAAAUAGUGAAAAUAAAAAUGUUCAUCAAUAUGUAACAUGUUAUUGUUAUUGUUCUUGAAUCGCUUUCAGUCUAAUUGGUUGGAAUGAAAUAGGUUGAAUUGAGUCGAUUGAACAUUGAUAUAUGUCGGUUAAAUGUGGUGGCAUAUUAGGUAACUUAUCUGAACUUUGAGGUAGUGCCGAGGGCACCUUGUCUCGUGUCUCUUCAAUGUCAUGUCUUAAGUCAUUUAUCGGGUUGUACAUCUUGCGAGUUUUUACCCCAUGUCGAAAUCGUUUCUAUUAACUUUUAGAUAUAAAAAACGGCUAUAAAACUGUCGUUUCUUUGCCUUUUCCUUGUACUUAUAGUAAGUAUGUGUCAGUUCCAUAGUAAUCGAUACAUCAUGAUUUUCUUUCUUUUUUCAAAUUCCAUAUAUUAUAUAUAUUUGAUAAAUGUCUGGUUUUUGGUAUAUAAAAAGCAUUUUACAGCUAAUUUCCUAAUGCAUGUAGAGGAAGACUUUGGUAAAUUGGUUGCUUGCUUUGUUUGUUUAUUGUACAAUCAAGUUCAAUUAAAUUCAAAUAUGAUAUAUAUACAGGUUUGACUAUGUCAUAUAUAUAUUGUUUAGAGAUGUCAAUCUUAAUUACAAAGCUUGAAUAAGCAAUAAUACAAACAAAGCAAGCAAGCCAACCAAAGUUUUACUGUACAAGCAGUAGUAAAUAAGCUGUAAUAAUAUACAUGAUAUAUGAAACCUUCCUUAACCAACUAACUAAAGAUAAUUCAUGUUAGUUAUUUAUAAAAAAAAUCACUAUGAAUUAUAUUUGAUAACUUAUAAUCUUUAUUUCUGAUAACCUUUUAAAUGAAUAAAGAAUGAAAGUUUACAAAUUAUUUCCCCAUUUUGGACAUUUUUAAUAUAUUUUUUCUUAAGUUAGAAUAUAUGUUGCUAAUUUUUCUUUACUCAGUUUAGAAUUCAAUAUUGAUUGAUUGAUUGUUGGUUGUUUAACGUCCAGUGGCAAACAUUUCAUGAAUGUUCUUGUUGAAGGACAACUGUUUAUAUAUAUUAAAUAGUAUUUACGGAAUCCAUUGCUUACAUUGAAUAUAGUAAUUCUGUAUUGAUUUGGUAUAUAAUUUUUUUUCCUAUUCGAGGCGUUCAAAAUCAUGCAAGUGUCAUGUGUUCGAUUCUUAAUCUUAAUUGAGCAGGAUGUCAGUUUCCCUAACUCCCUUAUUUAUUUAUUAAAGAUUCAACUUUUUCAUUUCAGCCUAGAACAGACAAAAACUAAUGUUUUUUUUUUUAUCUGAGGCCUUUAUCUAAACCAAAGGAAAACAUUUGGUACACAGCACAACCAAUUAGUAUAAACACCCUAGCUGCAACAGUCGGGCAAAUGUGCACAGAUUCAGGACUCGGUGGAUUUAGGUCAAACCAUUCAUUACGUGCAACAGCUGCAACCCGUUUGUAUGAAUGUGGUGUUGAUGAACAAAUUAUAUCAGAGGUAACUGGACACCGGAGUGAUGCUGUGAGGGAGUACAAAAGAACUAGCGAGACAAUGUGACGAGACGCAUGUCGAAGUAUUCGCGGAGGUGUGCCUUUAAACAGGAAGUGUCGAAAAAAAUCUGUAUUGGAAACCAGGAAUUAGACAUUAAUAUAAAUGUUAAUGUUAACGUAAAUAAAAGUUAAAUGCAGUGUCUUUUCAUUUUUGUAAUUGAACUUAUUUCAGAUUUAUACUGCACUCGUUCUAUUUGAGCAGUCAAAAUGCGUUGACCGUAUAUUUCUAUGUCAUAUACAGUCACUGAUCUAAUAUCACUUUUCCUCAUGAAUAUUUAAAUAGAAAUGGCCGAAACUAUAAUUAAUUAUUCAACCUGUUCUUGUUUUCAAUGUAUACAACGACUCAAACUUAUUUCUUUAGCAAUUUUUUGAAAAAAAAAACAUAUUUCACUUGUUAAUAUUUAUGGUUUGCAAACUAUAAAUCAUUAUGUUUUAUGCUUAUUGUUGGUAUUUAGUUCAUUCUCAAACAAAUUCGUUCACCAUCGAUUGCUAGUUUCAACAGGUAGAUGUACAUUUCAUUUUGCUGUAUAUUUUUCCGCCUGCAUGAUGUGAGGCCUUUUUAUAAAAGGGGGAAGUUUCCCAAUAUAUAAAUCAAAUAAUAACUUUAACACAUUAAACAACAAUUGGAAUUAUUUUUUUUGUGAUUGCAGUAUAAAGACAAUAAUAGUGCAUUGACUUGACAUAUAAGAAUGAGGCUUAGAAACGGGGAAAUGCGAGGCUCUGUCAAUGCACUAUUAUUGUCUAUUUAUCGGUCCGAAGUUUCAGUGAUAAAUACUCGUCAGACAACAUUACUCGAUAAUGAGCUAUUGUAGCCUUAAUGAGUUUUGCCAAAGGCUCUCUCAUUGUUAAAGCACAGUGGGUUCUUGAAAAAGAAUCCACGCUUAUUGAAUAGAAAAAUUUCACAACAAUGGUUUAACUUGUUCGAAUGAUAUUGAACAAACGAGCUGUGUUUCUGUAGUUCGCUACUAGCAAUUGAUUAUUUGGUCCACUAUUAUGCAGUGAGACAGGUUCACUUAGACCAUCACUUGCUGUCAACACUUCUCUAUGCCGUUGUCCAUCAGGGGAGAUAACUACCACAUUGUUAGAUUGGUAUCCCACCACGUACACAUUACCAUCAAUAUCUACAUCUAUACCGAGAGGAAUCUUAAGAAUGCUUUUAUUUUGGAAUGUCCAUUGCAUUUCACCUUGUAGAUUAUAACAUGUAACAGUGUGUGUUCCAUUGUUUGUAUGAUAUAUAUUGUCCCUAAAUGAUGCGGUGCAACAGUGUUUUGGCAUUUUAUUUCGAACUACUGUACUUAUAGACUCGUCGUGCAGAUUAAUCAUUCGUAUCCCUUUGUCGUUACCGGAAUAAAUCAAACGAUUUUCUUUCAAUGCAAUACCAUAACAAUUAGAAUCAAGUGAAAUUGUUUUCUUAAUUUGUUUCUUUUCCCAGUCGAUAAUAGUAAUACACUUCUUCGUAUUGCAUUGUCUUCACUGAUGUACGCUAUAUCAAAAACGUGACAUGACAUCUUCACCUCAAAGUCUUUUAACCCGUUCAUGUUAAAUAUAACUAGAUGACCAUCAUAAUAGUAAGUUAAUGCAAAUCUAUCAUCGGGCAGCAUGCAACAUCCGUUAGUUUGGAUUCCUUGAGUGUCGAAGGUCUUUUGUAGCGUUAGGUUUAUUUUUUCAAUGGGUCUAGAUUGACUGGUCGGUACCAUCAUUUGGGCUUGUUUGGACUUUUUCUUAAUCAGAACAAUGUUGCAAGGUUUAGCUUCAAUACGCACUUCCCCAAAACUGAUGAUAUCGGACAUGAUAUUCUUGAUAGAGGUGUUGAUCUUAUAUGAAAAAAAGAAGUUGUUUGAAAUUCUUGCUUUCCUUUAACGACAGCAGAAAUUGAUUUUGGAUAUAAACUUCCUCCUCUAUCUUUUUAAUUGAAAGAUACACUUGAAGAUCUGUUGCAUAUUGCUUGAUGUUCAUGAAGUUUCUCUGACAUUCUGCUAUUUCUUUUUCUUGCUUUUCUA